rnacentral:rRNA from 1 species
GACGAACGCUGGCGGCGUGCCUAAUACAUGCAAGUUGAGCGCUGAAGGUUGGUACUUGUACCAACUGGAUGAGCAGCGAACGGGUGAGUAACGCGUGGGGAAUCUGCCUUUGAGCGGGGGACAACAUUUGGAAACGAAUGCUAAUACCGCAUAAAAACUUUAAACACAAGUUUUAAGUUUGAAAGAUGCAAUUGCAUCACUCAAAGAUGAUCCCGCGUUGUAUUAGCUAGUUGGUGAGGUAAAGGCUCACCAAGGCGAGGAUACAUAGCCGACCUGAGAGGGUGAUCGGCCACAUUGGGACUGAGACACGGCCCAAACUCCUACGGGAGGCAGCAGUAGGGAAUCUUCGGCAAUGGACGAAAGGCUGACCGAGCAACGCCGCGUGAGUGAAGAAGGUUUUCGGAUCGUAAAACUCUGUUGGUAGAGAAGAACGUUGGUGAGAGUGGAAAGCUCAUCAAGUGACGGUAACUACACAGAAAGGGACGGCUAACUACGUG